UUAAGCGACUAAGCGUACACGGUGGAUGCCCUGGCAGUCAGAGGCGAUGAAGGACGUGCUAAUCUGCGAUAAGCGUCGGUAAGGUGAUAUGAACCGUUAUAACCGGCGAUUUCCGAAUGGGGAAACCCAGUGUGUUUCGACACACUAUCAUUAACUGAAUCCAUAGGUUAAUGAGGCGAACCGGGGGAACUGAAACAUCUAAGUACCCCGAGGAAAAGAAAUCAACCGAGAUUCCCCCAGUAGCGGCGAGCGAACGGGGAGCAGCCCAGAGCCUGAAUCAGUAUGUGUGUUAGUGGAAGCGUCUGGAAAGGCGCGCGAUACAGGGUGACAGCCCCGUACACAAAAAUGCACAUAUUGUGAGCUCGAUGAGUAGGGCGGGACACGUGGUAUCCUGUCUGAAUAUGGGGGGACCAUCCUCCAAGGCUAAAUACUCCUGACUGACCGAUAGUGAACCAGUACCGUGAGGGAAAGGCGAAAAGAACCCCGGCGAGGGGAGUGAAAAAGAACCUGAAACCGUGUACGUACAAGCAGUGGGAGCACGCUUAGGCGUGUGACUGCGUACCUUUUGUAUAAUGGGUCAGCGACUUAUAUUCUGUAGCAAGGUUAACCGAAUAGGGGAGCCGAAGGGAAACCGAGUCUUAACUGGGCGUUAAGUUGCAGGGUAUAGACCCGAAACCCGGUGAUCUAGCCAUGGGCAGGUUGAAGGUUGGGUAACACUAACUGGAGGACCGAACCGACUAAUGUUGAAAAAUUAGCGGAUGACUUGUGGCUGGGGGUGAAAGGCCAAUCAAACCGGGAGAUAGCUGGUUCUCCCCGAAAGCUAUUUAGGUAGCGCCUCGUGAAUUCAUCUCCGGGGGUAGAGCACUGUUUCGGCAAGGGGGUCAUCCCGACUUACCAACCCGAUGCAAACUGCGAAUACCGGAGAAUGUUAUCACGGGAGACACACGGCGGGUGCUAACGUCCGUCGUGAAGAGGGAAACAACCCAGACCGCCAGCUAAGGUCCCAAAGUCAUGGUUAAGUGGGAAACGAUGUGGGAAGGCCCAGACAGCCAGGAUGUUGGCUUAGAAGCAGCCAUCAUUUAAAGAAAGCGUAAUAGCUCACUGGUCGAGUCGGCCUGCGCGGAAGAUGUAACGGGGCUAAACCAUGCACCGAAGCUGCGGCAGCGACNGUUGUUGGGUAGGGGAGCGUUCUGUAAGCCUGUGAAGGUGUGCUGUGAGGCAUGCUGGAGGUAUCAGAAGUGCGAAUGCUGACAUAAGUAACGAUAAAGCGGGUGAAAAGCCCGCUCGCCGGAAGACCAAGGGUUCCUGUCCAACGUUAAUCGGGGCAGGGUGAGUCGACCCCUAAGGCGAGGCCGAAAGGCGUAGUCGAUGGGAAACAGGUUAAUAUUCCUGUACUUGGUGUUACUGCGAAGGGGGGACGGAGAAGGCUAUGUUGGCCGGGCGACGGUUGUCCCGGUUUAAGCGUGUAGGCUGGUUUUCCAGGCAAAUCCGGAAAAUCAAGGCUGAGGCGUGAUGACGAGGCACUACGGUGCUGAAGCAACAAAUGCCCUGCUUCCAGGAAAAGCCUCUAAGCAUCAGGUAACAUCAAAUCGUACCCCAAACCGACACAGGUGGUCAGGUAGAGAAUACCAAGGCGCUUGAGAGAACUCGGGUGAAGGAACUAGGCAAAAUGGUGCCGUAACUUCGGGAGAAGGCACGCUGAUAUGUAGGUGAAGUCCCUCGCGGAUGGAGCUGAAAUCAGUCGAAGAUACCAGCUGGCUGCAACUGUUUAUUAAAAACACAGCACUGUGCAAACACGAAAGUGGACGUAUACGGUGUGACGCCUGCCCGGUGCCGGAAGGUUAAUUGAUGGGGUCAGCGCAAGCGAAGCUCUUGAUCGAAGCCCCGGUAAACGGCGGCCGUAACUAUAACGGUCCUAAGGUAGCGAAAUUCCUUGUCGGGUAAGUUCCGACCUGCACGAAUGGCGUAAUGAUGGCCAGGCUGUCUCCACCCGAGACUCAGUGAAAUUGAACUCGCUGUGAAGAUGCAGUGUACCCGCGGCAAGACGGAAAGACCCCGUGAACCUUUACUAUAGCUUGACACUGAACAUUGAGCCUUGAUGUGUAGGAUAGGUGGGAGGCUUUGAAGUGUGGACGCCAGUCUGCAUGGAGCCGACCUUGAAAUACCACCCUUUAAUGUUUGAUGUUCUAACGUUGACCCGUAAUCCGGGUUGCGGACAGUGUCUGGUGGGUAGUUUGACUGGGGCGGUCUCCUCUUAAAGAGUAACGGAGGAGCACGAAGGUUGGCUAAUCCUGGUCGGACAUCAGGAGGUUAGUGCAAUGGCAUAAGCCAGCUUGACUGCGAGCGUGACGGCGCGAGCAGGUGCGAAAGCAGGUCAUAGUGAUCCGGUGGUUCUGAAUGGAAGGGCCAUCGCUCAACGGAUAAAAGGUACUCCGGGGAUAACAGGCUGAUACCGCCCAAGAGUUCAUAUCGACGGCGGUGUUUGGCACCUCGAUGUCGGCUCAUCACAUCCUGGGGCUGAAGUAGGUCCCAAGGGUAUGGCUGUUCGCCAUUUAAAGUGGUACGCGAGCUGGGUUUAGAACGUCGUGAGACAGUUCGGUCCCUAUCUGCCGUGGGCGCUGGAGAACUGAGGGGGGCUGCUCCUAGUACGAGAGGACCGGAGUGGACGCAUCACUGGUGUUCGGGUUGUCAUGCCAAUGGCACUGCCCGGUAGCUAAAUGCGGAAGAGAUAAGUGCUGAAAGCAUCUAAGCACGAAACUUGCCCCGAGAUGAGUUCUNCGCUGAUAUGUAGGUGAAGUCCCUCGCGGAUGGAGCUGAAAUCAGUCGAAGAUACCAGCUGGCUGCAACUGUUUAUUAAAAACACAGCACUGUGCAAACACGAAAGUGGACGUAUACGGUGUGACGCCUGCCCGGUGCCGGAAGGUUAAUUGAUGGGGUUAGCCGCAAGGCGAAGCUCUUGAUCGAAGCCCCGGUAAACGGCGGCCGUAACUAUAACGGUCCUAAGGUAGCGAAAUUCCUUGUCGGGUAAGUUCCGACCUGCACGAAUGGCGUAAUGAUGGCCAGGCUGUCUCCACCCGAGACUCAGUGAAAUUGAACUCGCUGUGAAGAUGCAGUGUACCCGCGGCAAGACGGAAAGACCCCGUGAACCUUUACUAUAGCUUGACACUGAACAUUGAGCCUUGAUGUGUAGGAUAGGUGGGAGGCUUUGAAGUGUGGACGCCAGUCUGCAUGGAGCCGACCUUGAAAUACCACCCUUUAAUGUUUGAUGUUCUAACGUUGACCCGUAAUCCGGGUUGCGGACAGUGUCUGGUGGGUAGUUUGACUGGGGCGGUCUCCUCCUAAAGAGUAACGGAGGAGCACGAAGGUUGGCUAAUCCUGGUCGGACAUCAGGAGGUUAGUGCAAUGGCAUAAGCCAGCUUGACUGCGAGCGUGACGGCGCGAGCAGGUGCGAAAGCAGGUCAUAGUGAUCCGGUGGUUCUGAAUGGAAGGGCCAUCGCUCAACGGAUAAAAGGUACUCCGGGGAUAACAGGCUGAUACCGCCCAAGAGUUCAUAUCGACGGCGGUGUUUGGCACCUCGAUGUCGGCUCAUCACAUCCUGGGGCUGAAGUAGGUCCCAAGGGUAUGGCUGUUCGCCAUUUAAAGUGGUACGCGAGCUGGGUUUAGAACGUCGUGAGACAGUUCGGUCCCUAUCUGCCGUGGGCGCUGGAGAACUGAGGGGGGCUGCUCCUAGUACGAGAGGACCGGAGUGGACGCAUCACUGGUGUUCGGGUUGUCAUGCCAAUGGCACUGCCCGGUAGCUAAAUGCGGAAGAGAUAAGUGCUGAAAGCAUCUAAGCACGAAACUUGCCCCGAGAUGAGUUCUCCCUGACUCCUUGAGAGUCCUGAAGGAACGUUGAAGACGACGACGUUGAUAGGCCGGGUGUGUAAGCGCAGCGAUGCGUUGAGCUAACCGGUACUAAUGAACCGUGAGGCUUAACCUU
rnacentral:rRNA from 1 species